AGGGUGCGAGCGUUGUCCGGAAUCACUGGGCGUAAAGGGCGCGUAGGGGGCGCGGGCAGUCAACGGUGAAAGUUCGGGGCUCAACCCUGAAUCGGCCGUCGAUACUCCCGGGCUUGAGCACUGUAGAGGCAGAUGGAAUUCCGGGUGUAGCGGUGGAAUGCGUAGAGAUCCGGAAGAACACCGGUGGCGAAGGCGGUCUGCUGGGCAGUAGCUGACACUGAGGCGCGACAGCGUGGGGAGCAAACAGG
rnacentral:rRNA from 1 species